rnacentral:rRNA from 1 species
UGGGGAAUUUUGCGCAAUGGGGGAAACCCUGACGCAGCAACGCCGCGUGGGUGAUGAAGGCCUUCGGGUCGUAAAGCUCUGUCUGGAGGGAAGAAAUGAUUGGGAGCUAAUACCUCCUGAUCUUGACGGUACCUCUGAAGGAAGCACCGGCUAACUCCGUGCCAGCAGCCGCGGUAAUACGGAGGGUGCAAGCGUUGUUCGGAAUUAUUGGGCGUAAAGGGCGCGCAGGCGGGAUAAAAAGUCAGUGGUGAAAUCCUACAGCUUAACUGUAGAACUGCCUUCGAUACUUUUAUUCUUGAGUUCGGGAGAGAGAGACGGAAUUCCAGGUGUAGUGGUGAAAUACGUAGAUAUCUGGAAGAACACCAGUUGCGAAGGCGGUCUCUUGGUCCGACACUGACGCUGAGGCGCGAAAGCGUGGGGAGCAAAC